rnacentral:rRNA from 1 species
AACGCGUGAGAAUCUGGCCUCAGGACGGGGACAACGUACUGGAAACGGUCGCUAAUACCCGAUGUGCCGAAAGGUGAAAGGAUUAAUUGCCUGAGGAUGAGCUCGCGUCUGAUUAGCUAGUUGGAGGGGUAAAGGCCCACCAAGGCGACGAUCAGUAGCUGGUCUGAGAGGAUGAUCAGCCACACUGGGACUGAGACACGGCCCAGACUCCUACGGGAGGCAGCAGUGGGGAAUUUUCCGCAAUGGGCGAAAGCCUGACGGAGCAAGACCGCGUGAGGGAAGACGGCCUACUGGUUGUAAACCUCUUUUGAUAGGGAAGAACACAAUGACGGUACCUAUCGAAUCAGCCUCGGCUAACUCCGUGCCAGCAGCCGCGGUAAUACGGAGGAGGCAAGCGUUAUCCGGAAUUAUUGGGCGUAAAGCGUCCGUAGGUGGAUAUUCAAGUCAGUUGUUAAAGCGUGGAGCUUAACUCCAUAAAGGCAAUUGAAACUGAAUGUCUAGAGUGCGAUAGGGGCAAGGGGAAUUCCCAGUGUAGCGGUGAAAUGCGUAGAUAUUGGGAAGAACAUCGGUGGCGAAAGCGCCUUGCUGGGUCUGCACUGACACUGAGGGACAAAAGCUAGGGUAGCGAACCGCAUUACUAUACCCAGGAUUCUCACGCGUUA